CAAGAACAGGAAGACUGGGCGCUUUGUGGGGCGAAGUGAGCGGGUCGGCAGAGCCCAGCGGGGCUGAGCACCGGCAGCAGCUGCUUUCAGAAACGAGCUGCAGCUCUGGGACAACGUUGUUGUUUUGGGCCAUCCACCAUCAAGCAAUGUUCCUGCCACCCUCAUGUGUGGGGAAAACUUCUCCAACCGGCCUGAAACUUCUCUGACGGGUGUGACUGCAAAGGGAGCACAUGGGACCUCGAACAGCAAGCCCUUGGCAGCUGCGAAGCAGGUCUGCCGGGCUGGAUAAAGCUCCUCCUGAUUUGGCCAAGGGGUGGCAUAAUGUGCUAAGUUACCAUAAGGAUCCAGCCCUUCACUGCCUCUUUGACAAUGAUGGCCAGCAGUGGGAGGAACGGAGCUUGGAGUUUCAGCCUGCUGCUCUGAAGAAGGCGUCACAACAAACGGAGGAGGAAUAACUGGGUUACUCGGAAAUAAAUGGUCUACGGGAAAUGGAGCACUUGGAGGACGAUCCUGCAAAUGCUCUUAGGAGCUGGCUCUGGAGCUUAUAUUUUUUGGGAGCCAGUUAUCCUCUGCUUGCAAACAGCCUGCAGAGUUGGCUGCUACCUUCGCUGGAAAAAAAUGGAACAGUUAGUGUGGUAAUAAAAGACUGUAAAUGGAAGAGAUGAGAGCCCCCACGCUGUGCUAGGAAGUGUUGCCAAAUCCCACUUUCAGAAAUUGCAUUUGCCCUUCCAUCAAAAAUCAUGAGAUUGAUUUUUAUUUUUUUUCUCAGAUCUCACAUCUAAGCCAAAUAAUUCCAACAUUUGAGCUUUAUAGUUAGCUUGUAUCAAUCUAUAUCUAUCCAUCAAUAUGAUAGCCAUCCGUCAACUUGCUCUACACACAGAAUAGAUCAAGAUGCUUUCUUGAAAGCUUGCCUUAUGCUAGCUGAGAAGCGAGUCUAUAGCGAAGGCAUCUGAUUACUAGGGCUGCGAGGCUUGGGGAGGGCACUGAGCUUGGCUAUCUGUUCUCUAGCCUUUCCAGCUCCUGCACAGUUUCACCAUAACUGUAGCCUUUGCUAGCUACUGCUGUUCCUUGUCAUCUGUCUCCCAUGCUGGGAGAGGACAAGCCCGAUGGUCUGCUGAGGAGUCGCACGCUGGAGACCUUGUUUGGCUGCAGGUGCCCUUUGAGGGCUAAGGGCUGUCCCUUGGCCUAUUUCCACCUUUCCCAACUUGUGGAGGGGGGAAAAGACCGUUUCCCUACUGCUGAGGGCGUUAUUAGAAUUAAUCAUUAAAGGCCCAUGAGGCAAGGGAAAGUGCAGAAGUGCCCGAGGUUCCUGGGAACAGGAGAGCACAGCAAGAGCUCCUUCUGGGUAUCACGAAACCUCUGCUCAGCUGUUGAGUUCUGAGAAAUGCUUCAAGGUUCACGGACUGUUUCCUGUAAAGUGGUUUAGAAGCGCAGUUUUGCAGUUCUGAAAACUAGUUUAGUGCUUUUGUGUAAGGCUUUCCAUCCCUUGUUUUGGGCAGUGAUAUCUUUUUCGUGUCUAAGGAAAAGUGAAGAAAAAUAUUCCUUCAACCCCUAUCACACCAAAAUGAUUUCAGUUUCUCAGUCGGAUGGCCAGAAUGACAGACUAAUUAUUCAUAGUCCUACUCGUGCACUGAAAACAGAUUUUUUUUUUCCCCCUCUGUAAAAUAAACCAUGUAGCAGAGAUGUGUGUUUUUUCCAAAGUCAAAUGGACUGAUCACAAAUAUUCUACAUGUGAGCUGUGGUCAAUUGGAUAAGACUCAGGGUGUUUUUCGUGGUCACAGCUGGUCUGUGUUCUUGCAUGUAGCAAUUUCAAAAACUUAAUUCCCACAAAAACUUGUGUAACUCGCUGUUCUCUAUAUUAUACAGAGCCAGUUUGCAAAAAAUAACAUUUUUACAAGAGAAAGCAGCUUUAAAAAAAUCUAGCCUCUCUCUUUUAAUUUAUGUGACUUUCCAUCCCUCGUCUAUCCCAGACAUGAGCAUAAAAUUCUGGUUAGCUCACAACUAGCAAAUGAAGAAUUUUAGGCCAACUGCUCACUACGGGUAACUAAGUGGUCUAAUGACUGCUCUCCAUUGGGCCAGAUUACCUGAAUCUAAUGAUUGCAGCUACGGCAUCAAAGGGAGGCAAUAUUGUCAGCAAUAUUUGGAGAGGAGAAGGGGGCUGGGAGGGAAUAUAAUGCAGGAUUUCAUAAGCUUGAUGGCAGUAGGUAAGCUGAAUGUGGUACUGUUUUUCACUAAAUCCCCUAAUACUAGAACGAGGGGGCAAAACUGGUGGGACGCCACUUUAAAAGGGCCUCUUUAUGCAGCACGUAGUGAUCCAUGGGAACAUGCUGCCCCAGGAGGCUGGAGAGAUGGUGUCAGCAGGUCCAAGAGGGAGCUGGACAAAUUCAUUGACAGGAAAGUUCAGGCCUUAUUGACACGCAGAGUGAAAAGCACAGGCUGAAAAUGUGGAAUAUGUUUUCUGGAAGUGUUUGUACAGCUAAAGCCUGAAUGUUUGUGGAGCAGGGGCAUGAAAUGAAUGUGAGUUUGAGCAAGCUGAAUUCAUUUGCUGCCUUUGAGGGAACGUGUAUUUGGAAAGAUGGCUGGAGCUGAUAUACUGCUUGGCUGACACUCUGCAAAACAGGAUCUCCCACCCUGCCUGGAAGCCCUCUGGCAGCUCCAGAGCUG